rnacentral:tRNA from 1 species
GGAGAGGUGCCCGGAGUGGCUGAUCGGGGACCAACGAAAGGUCGGACCCGCAAGGGUCCACGCAGGUUCGAAUCCUGCCCUCUCCG